GGGCCAUAGCUCAGUGGUAGAGCAUCUGCUUUGCAUGCAGAAGGUCCCAGGUUCAAUCCCUGGCAUGUCUA
rnacentral:tRNA from 1 species